rnacentral:rRNA from 1 species
GGGGGGGGGGGGGGGGGGGGGGGGGGGGGGGGGGGCGGGGGGGGGGGGGGGGGGCGGGCGCGUGGGGGGUUGGCGGCGGGCGGGGGGGGACCCGGUGGAUGCCCUGCCUAUGGGGCUGGGGGACCGUCGGGAGCCCGGAGCUACUACCGGGUGAUCUCUUGACCCGCCUGGUUCCCUGGUGGAAGGCGGUUUUGCGGGCGCUUGUCGCUGGAUCCGCGCCGCAUUAGCUAGUUGGUAACGUAACGGCUUACCAAGGCAACGAUGCGUAGCCGACCUGAGAGGGGGAUCGGCCACACUGGAACUGAGACACGGUCCAGACUCCUACGGGAGGCAGCAGUAGGGAAUCUUCCGCAAUGGGCGAAAGCUUGACGGAGCAACGCCGCGUGAGUGAUGUAGGUCUUCGGAUCGUAAAACUCUGUUAUCAGGGAAGAAAAAAUGUGUAAGUAACUAUGCACGUCUUGACGGUACCUAAUCAGAAAGCCACGGCUAACUACGUG